rnacentral:misc_RNA from 1 species
UUGUGGCGCUGACCUUGCUGG